AUUCAAAUUUUGACACACACCAAAAUUUCAACAAUGUGAACGGGCCAUUGCGUUUUGACAGCGCUCAUAGAAUUGGGGUUAGAGACCAAGUCGAAAUAAAAACUUGAUAAUCUUUAUUUGGAAGUGGAGAAAAAACAUAAAUUCGCUAUGAGAAUCUUUCAAAUGUUGUGUCGCAGCCGAAAGCCACAGAAUCCAAACAAUGUGCCAUUGGCAAAGCCUCGAUUGCCUUUCGCAUUGCGGGAUCGUGUUUGUACCAAGAAAACAAAAGGUGGUUCGGCUCCAGCGCUGCAGGAAAUGCAGAAUCUAAUCACCAAACUCAGUCAAAACGAAUACAAUCAACAAUUUUGCGAGAAGGAAAUCGUAGCGAUGCGCGAUGCAAACACUGCGUCGUACCAUCAAUUUUUAAGAGAAAAACAAGAGAAUCGAGCUGGACACAUCAAACCAGGACCACAAUUAAAUCCAGUACCCCUUAACAAAUAUCUUAAACGAUUCCCAAUUGAUAAACCAAAUCAAUUCGAAGCCAAAAUCACUGAGCUACCGGCAUGGAAACGAAAGUACUGAUGAUAUAAUGGGGUUAUUGAGUAAUGUUACAGAAAAAAUUAUUAGAUAAAAGAACAAGUUUGAUUUUUUUAAAACGUAAAUGGAACAAAGAUGUGAAGUGAGAAUAAUAACACGAAAAAAGGAUGUUCAAUAAAACAUUUUAUUCAUAAAUUACAAAAAAAAAAACAUUGGAUUGACAUUUAGAGUACUAAUUUAAAAAAAAAUACAUAUGUAUAUACAUAGAUGUGGUUGCAAACACUUUAAUUUCGACAUAAAAUCAUCCACAAUAAUAAAAAUGUGUUGAUGUACGGCCCUAGCACCAAAUUAAGCAUUAAUAUGUUAUAUGAAAAUGUCGAAAUUUUAUUAUUUUUAUGAAUGAAAAAAAUCAAUUCAUAUGGAAAAGCAAAUAUGCUGAUUUUAGUAUGUCGAAAAAAAUUAUAUUGCAAUACUUUGAUUUCGUUUUUAUUUUGGAAAAUUUAGUUCGGGUUGAUGUUUCCAUAAAAUUCGUUAGAGUAAAAAAAAAAAUUGGAGAGAAUUUAAUAGAAAAAAUUUGGGCAAAUAAUUUAGGUAACUUGUUGUUUUUCGAAUGGAAUGAUUUUGGCAGUAAAUUGUUUGGCUGUUCAACCAGCGAAGAGGUAGAUCAUAAAUUAUCUCGUUCUCGAAUAUAUUCGGCUGGUCUCUUGGUAACUUUCAAAAUUAAGCGAUUAGUUUACUUGCAAUGUGUAGCAGGAAAAAAUUAUGAAAUAGAAUUAAAAAAAAAUAACAUGAAA